rnacentral:rRNA from 1 species
CCUACGGGGGGCAGCAGUGGGGAAUAUUGCACAAUGGGGGAAACCCUGAUGCAGCGACGCCGCGUGAGUGAUGAAGUAUUUCGGUAUGUAAAGCUCUAUCAGCAGGGAAGAUAAUGACGGUACCUGACUAAGAAGCUCCGGCUAAAUACGUGCCAGCAGCCGCGGUAAUACGUAUGGAGCAAGCGUUAUCCGGAUUUACUGGGGGGAAAGGGAGCGCAGACGGCAGGGGAAGUCUGAUGUGAAAGUCCGGGGCUCAACCCCGGGACUGCAUUGGAAACUGUCCGGCUAGAGUGCAGGAGAGGUAAGUGGAAUUCCUAGUGUAGCGGUGAAAUGCGUAGAUAUUAGGAGGAACACCAGUGGCGAAAGCGGCUUACUGGACUGUAACUGACGUUGAGGCUCGAAAGCGUGGGGAGCAAACAGGAUUAGAUACCCUGGUAGUC